rnacentral:rRNA from 1 species
GGGGGCAACCCCUCGAGAGUGGCGAACGGGUGAGUAAUAUAUCGGAACGUGCCCAGUCGUGGGGGAUAACGUAGCGAAAGUUACGCUAAUACCGCAUACGAUCUACGGAUGAAAGCGGGGGAUCGCAAGACCUCGCGCGAUUGGAGCGGCCGAUAUCAGAUUAGGUAGUUGGCGGGGUAAAGGCUCACCAAGCCAACGAUCUGUAGCUGGUCUGAGAGGACGACCAGCCACACUGGAACUGAGACACGGUCCAGACUCCUACGGGAGGCAGCAGUGGGGAAUUUUGGACAAUGGACGCAAGUCUGAUCCAGCCAUUCCGCGUGCAGGAUGAAGGCCCUCGGGUUGUAAACUGCUUUUGUACGGAACGAAAAGGUUUCUAUUAAUACUAGGAACUCAUGACGGUACCGUAAGAAUAAGCACCGGCUAACUACGUGCCAGCAGCCGCGGUAAUACGUAGGGUGCAAGCGUUAAUCGGAAUUACUGGGCGUAAAGCGUGCGCAGGCGGUUAUGUAAGACAGAGGUGAAAUCCCCGGGCUCAACCUGGGAACUGCCUUUGUGACUGCAUAGCUAGAGUACGGUAGAGGGGGAUGGAAUUCCGCGUGUAGCAGUGAAAUGCGUAGAUAUGCGGAGGAACACCGAUGGCGAAGGCAAUCCCCUGNACCUGUACUGACGCUCAUGCACGNNNCGUGGGGAGCAAACAGGAUUAGAUACCCUGNUAGUCCACGCCCUAAACGAUGUCAACUGGUUGUUGGGUCUUCACUGACUCAGUAACGAAGCUAACGCGUGAAGUUGACCGCCUGGGGAGUACGGCCGCANGGUUGAAACUCAAAGGAAUUGACGGGGACCCGCACAAGCGGUGGAUGAUGUGGUUUANUUCNAUGCAACGCGAAAA